rnacentral:rRNA from 1 species
CAAUAGCGUAUAUUAACGUUGUUGCAGUUAAAAAGCUCGUAGUUGGAUUUCUGGUUGAAGCGACCGGUCGGGCGUUGAUUCGUCUGCACUGGAGUCGGUUUUGGCCAUCCUCUAGGAAAGUGCGUCUGGUAUUAAGUUAUCGGGCGUAUGAUCCUGGUCUUUUACUGUGAAAAAAUUAGAGUGUUUAAAGCAGGCCUUCGCCUUGAAUACAUUAGCAUGGAAUAAUAAGAUAGGACUUUGGUCUAUUUUGUUGGUUUGCAGACCGAAGUAAUGAUUAAUAGGGAUAGUUGGGGGUAUUUAUAUUCCGAUGUCAGAGGUGAAAUUCUUAGAUUUUCGGAAGAUAAACUUAUGCGAAAGCAUUUACCAAGGAUGUUUUCAUUAA